GACGAACGCUGGCGGCGUGCUUAACACAUGCAAGUCCAACGAAGAGCGAUGGAAGCUUGCUUCUAUCAAUCUUAGUGGCGAACGGGUGAGUAACGCGUAAUCAACCUGCCCUUCAGAGGGGGACAACAGUUGGAAACGACUGCUAAUACCGCAUACGAUCUAAUCUCGGCAUCGAGGAUAGAUGAAAGGUGGCCUCUACAUGUAAGCUAUCACUGAAGGAGGGGAUUGCGUCUGAUUAGCUAGUUGGAGGGGUAACGGCCCACCAAGGCGAUGAUCAGUAGCCGGUCUGAGAGGAUGAACGGCCACAUUGGGACUGAGACACGGCCCAGACUCCUACGGGAGGCAGCAGUGGGGAAUCUUCCGCAAUGGACGAAAGUCUGACGGAGCAACGCCGCGUGAGUGAUGACGGCCUUCGGGUUGUAAAGCUCUGUUAAUCGGGACGAAAGGCCUUCUUGCGAAUAGUGAGAAGGAUUGACGGUACCGGAAUAGAAAGCCACGGCUAACUACGUG
rnacentral:rRNA from 1 species